GCCAUCAUGGUGUAACGGUAGCGCACUCGGCGUUUAUUCGUGAAGUUCAGGUUCGAAUCCCGACGAGGGCA
rnacentral:tRNA from 1 species